rnacentral:rRNA from 1 species
GGGAAUUCGAUUCAGGCCUAACACAUGCAAGUCGAGCGGUAGAGAGAAGCUUGCUUCUCUUGAAAAAGGCGGACGGGUGAGUAAUGCCUAGGAAUCUGCCUGGUAGUGGGGGAUAACGUUCGGAAACGGACGCUAAUACCGCAUACGUCCUACGGGAGAAAGCAGGGGACCUUCGGGCCUUGCGCUAUCAGAUGAGCCUAGGUCGGAUUAGCUAGUUGGUGAGGUAAUGGCUCACCAAGGCUACGAUCCGUAACUGGUCUGAGAGGAUGAUCAGUCACACUGGAACUGAGACACGGUCCAGACUCCUACGGGAGGCAGCAGUGGGGAAUAUUGGACAAUGGGCGAAAGCCUGAUCCAGCAAGGCCGCGUGUGUGAAGAAGGUCUUCGGAUUGAAAUUCAAUGGAAGUGGGAGGAAGGGCAUUAACCUAAUACGUUAGUGUUUGACGUACCGACAGAAAAGCCCC